rnacentral:lncRNA from 1 species
AACAUGGUAACAACUAAAACGCAUAGAUAUUCAUCAUAUUGAAAAAGAAUUUGCAAGAAGGAUUGCCGACUCAGAACCGAAUAUUGUAUCAGCCGGCUGGUAGUAGGAGUCGGUAUGUCCUUGUAUCAGACCGUAACAUGCCUGAAUCGAUAUGGAAACAAGGGAUGAACAUGGGAGGAAAAGAGAGACAAAAAGAGGAGGG